rnacentral:rRNA from 1 species
AUAGCCUCUGGCUAUAGGAAAUUGUUAGUGGCAGACGGGUGAGUAAUGCGUAGGAAUCUACCUAGUAGUACGGAAUAGCCAUUAGAAAUGGUGGGUAAUACUGUAUAAUCCCCGAGGGGGAAAGAUUUAUCGCUAUUAGAUGAGCCUACGUUAGAUUAGCUAGUUGGUGAGGUAAUGGCUUACCAAGGCUAUGAUCUAUAGCUGGUCUGAGAGGACGAUCAGCCACACUGGAACUGAGAUACGGUCCAGACUCCUACGGGAGGCAGCAGUGGGGAAUAUUGGACAAUGGGCGAAAGCCUGAUCCAGCUAUGCCGCGUGAGUGAAGAAGGCCUUCGGGUUGUAAAACUCUUUCAAUAGGGAAGAUAAUGACGGUACCUAUAGAAGAAGUCCCGGCAAACUC